rnacentral:lncRNA from 1 species
GUUAUGCAAGAUGGAAAGCAGCUUAAAAGGUCUGAAUAAUUAUAAAAUUUAUAAAAUUUACAAUUAUAUUUUAUUAUCAAGUUUUUGUUUUAAAGUUACAUAUAAUUAUAAAACUAGAGUAUGAGGAGUAUAAGCUUAUCCAUUUGAUAGCCUUUGUGAAGGAAGGAGAAGUGUCUGAAAUGUGGGAGGACUAUCCUUAUCUCUUAAAUGAGUUGUGAAGUUGUCGAGAGAGUUAUUUAUAAAAGGUUUGCCAAUGAGAUGGCAAGCAGACUGCUAGCUAGAAAUUCAUGCAUCUUUGAAUCACCAAUUCAAUUAAUAAGCUUAACUAAAGGAAAUAAGGACUUUAAAUCCACCAAUUCAAGCAACCUAUAUGUACCCUUUUACAGUCUGCAUUGUUCCUUGUUUCAAUUCAUUACAUCAUUCCUUCAACUCUGCUAUAUAUUAUUACCGUCUCCAGAUAACCAAACCUUUUACUGCUAACUUGUAAAAAAAUUAUGAAAAUACAAUAGAGAUCAUUGAGACAUUGUUGAAGUUGGCUUGCAUGUAGACCAAGAAGCAGACCAAGCUGUCCGAGCCAUGCAAGUUGCAGCUGAAGCUUAUGCUGCUGUUUUGUUACUUUCAAAUAGAUAUUUUAUUAUUUGGUUAGAUAUGAACUAAGUUGUUGAUAUGCUUGAUGUAAUUAGGUGCUGAUAGAUUGAUAAAUCAGCUUUACCAAGUGUACAAGCAAUGUUUAUCAAAAAGUUACUAAGCCACUUAGUGGAGUUAGGUAUGUGUUUAGGUAACAUUUUCUUAUUUUUGACCAGUUGAUUGCUUGGUAUAUGUAAUGGCAUUGUGCCUUCAUUCAAAUGUAAUGAAACCUUUCAGAAAAUUCUUCUUCAUUUGGUCUUUACUUAAGCAUUUUUAUUCAUAAA